CUGGCAGUGAGUCCAGAAGAGAAGGAAUCGUGGAUCAAUGCCCUCAACUCUGCCAUCACCCGAGCCAAGAACCGUAUCUUGGAUGAGUACAUCUCUUCAGGUCACCGUUGAGGAGGACAGCUAUCUUGCCCAUCCCACUCGAGACAGGGCAAAAAUCCAACAUUCCCGCCGCCCCCCAACAAGGGGACACCUAAUGGCUGUGGCUUCCACCUCUACCUCAGAUGGGAUGCUGACCUUGGACUUGAUCCAAGAGGAAGACCCUUCUCCUGAGGAACCAACCUCUUGUGCUGAGAGCUUUCGGGUUGACCUGGACAAGUCUGUGGCCCAGCUGGCAGGGAGCCGGCGGAGAGCAGACUCAGACCGCAUUCAGCCCUCCGCAGACCGGGCAAGCAGCCUCUCCCGACCUUGGGAAAAAACAGACAAAGGGGCCACCUACACCCCCCAGGCACCCAAGAAGUUGAUGCCCACAGAGAAAGGCCGCUGCGCCUCCCUGGAGGAGAUCCUAUCUCAGCGGGACGCUGCCCCUGCCCACGCCCUCCAGCUGCGGGCUGAGGAACCCCCAACCCCUGCCCUCCCCAACCCAGGGCAGCUGUCCCGGAUCCAGGACCUGGUAGCAAGGAAACUGGAGAAGACUCAGGAGCUUCUGGCAGAGGUUCAGGGACUGGGAGAUGGGAAGCGAAAGGCCAAGGACCCCCCUCGGUCUCCGCC
rnacentral:sRNA from 1 species